rnacentral:rRNA from 1 species
AUGACCACUGAGAGUAUAGGCGCCGUCUUGUUUGACAUAUUUGCAGGUGCCACUCAGACCACGGGAGUUGCCUUGGAGUGGGCUAUGGCUGAGCUCAUUCGUCAUCCCCAAACCAUGGCGAAAGCACAGCUUGAGAUCCGAGAGGUUCUAGGUCAAGAUCGAGCUGUGAUUACUAAUAGUGACCUCGCUGAACUCCACUACAUGCGGAUGAUCAUUAAGGAGGUUCUUAGAUUGCAUCCACCUGGUCCUUUGAUCCCCCGCAGGGCCAGGGAAGACCGUAAAGUUAUGGGUUUUGACAUGCUUGAGGGCACCAAUGUAUACAUUAAUGCUUUUGCGGUUUCCAGGGAUCCAAAUUGUUGGGAAAGCCCUAAAGAGUUUAAGCCUGAAAGGUUUGAGAACAAUAACAUGGAUUACAACGGGACAUACUUUGAAUUCACCCCCUUCGGUGCUGGUCGGAGGCAGUGCCCUGGGAUACUUUUCGGCACAUCAACCAUGGAGAUUGCUUUGGCAAAUCUUCUCUACCACUUUGACUGGGUGGUUCUUGGCAAGGCAAACCCGCAAUUUUUGGACAUGACCGAGAAAUACGGGAUCGUCGUUGGAAGAAAAUAUGACCUACAAUUGAUACCUAUUUCCCGUGGAGGUUUCCAUGCCACAUAG